CGGGGUAACGGCCCACCAAGGCGACGAUGCCUAGGGGUUCUGAGAGGAAGGUCCCCCACACUGGUACUGAGACACGGACCAGACUCCUACGGGAGGCAGCAGUGAGGAAUAUUGGUCAAUGGGCGUAAGCCUGAACCAGCCAAGUCGCGUGAGGGACGACGGCCCUACGGGUUGUAAACCUCUUUUGCCGGGGGACAAACGGCGGCACGCGUGCCGUCCUGAGGGUACCCGGAGAAAAAGCAUCGGCUAACUCCGUGCCAGCAGCCGCGGUAAUACGGAGGAUGCGAGCGUUAUCCGGAUUUAUUGGGUUUAAAGGGUGCGUAGGCGGGAUGCCAAGUCAGCGGUCAAAUACGGGGGCUCAACCUGCGUCCGCCGUUGAAACUGGCGUUCUUGAGUGGGCGAGAAGUACGCGGAAUGCGUGGUGUAGCGGUGAAAUGCAUAGAUAUCACGCAGAACCCCGAUUGCGAAGGCAGCGUACCGGCGCCCAACUGACGCUGAAGCACGAAAGCGUGGGUAUCGAACAGGAUUAGAUACCCUGGUAGUCCACGCAGUAAACGAUGAACACUAAUUGUCCGGCGGGGUUUGCCGCUGGGUGAU
rnacentral:rRNA from 1 species